UACAGAGGGGGCAAGCGUUGUUCGGAAUUACUGGGCGUAAAGGGCGCGUAGGCGGCCUGUUAAGUCGAACGUGAAAUCCCCGGGCUCAACCCGGGAACUGCGUCCGAUACUGGCAGGCUUGAAUCCGGGAGAGGGAUGCGGAAUUCCAGGUGUAGCGGUGAAAUGCGUAGAUAUCUGGAGGAACACCGGUGGCGAAGGCGGCGAUCC
rnacentral:rRNA from 1 species